rnacentral:rRNA from 1 species
CAGCCACCGCGGUUAUACGAGAGGCCCAAGUUGAUAAAUGCCGGCGUAAAAAGUGGUUAGUACUAUAUUUUACUAAAGCCAAACAUCUUCAAAACUGUCAUACGUUCUCGAAGACAGGAAGCUCUUCUACGAAAGUGGCUUUAAAUUAGACACACCACGAAAGCUAGGAAA